UACGAACUGUGCGAACGUUAUUCGGAAUCACUGGGCUUACAGGGUGCGUAGGCGGCUUAGCAAGUCAGGUGUGAAAAGCCCCCCGGCUCAACCGGGGAACUGCGCUUGAAAACUGCUGAGCUCGAGUCAGCUAGAGGUACACGGAACUUCCAGUGGAGCGGUGAAAUGUGUUGAUAUCAUCAGGAACUCCGGUGGCGAAGGCGGCUCGCUGGACCUCUCUGACGCUGAGGCG
rnacentral:rRNA from 1 species